AUAAGAUAUAGUAGGCCAGGUUCCCAGGAAAAUGAAGCCUGAGGCCAAAGUUCAUGUACUGAAGCUUUGUUGCAUCCAAGGAAUGCAAAAGUGAGGGAACGAAGGAGUGAGUCAGGGAAAAAGGGAAAAAAGGGAGGUGAGAUAUCAAGCUGGGCUCCACUUACAUGUAAGCACAACCUCUUGCUCAGUUGUGCAGGUGGUCUUCAGAGCGGCCGUAGGAAUUACUACAUUUCAGCCCAUCUGUAAGGGCAAAGGCGACUGGUGGGGUGGAGAACAGGGGAGGACAAGAAGGAAAAUUUAUCCUCUGAUUCCCAUACCUCAAUAGUGGAAAUUUUGUUUCAAAGGGUAUUAACCCCUUGUGAUGGUUAAUUUUAUGUGUUCACUUAAAGGGUGCUUUUGGAUGAGACUAAUGUUUGAAUCAGUUACCCUCUACCAGCCUUUACACUGUAACUGCACCAUCGGCUGUCUUAGGUCUCAGGCUGGUCCACAUUGCAGAUUUUAGACUUGCCAGCCUCCAUAAUCACAUAAGCCAAUUCCCGAAAAUAAACCAGACAGUACAGGUAAGAAGAUCUCAGGUGAUGCCUUGGGAGUGGAUAAUGCAGCGGGAAAAGCCAAGACCAGGUGCUGACCUUAGAAAGGUAAAGCUGACCUUGCAGAAAAUGAGGCCAACUCUGAAACAUAGGUAGAUUCUUGGAAGAAAAUGACUUUUUACACCAUGAAGAAAACCAUUUGAGAAGGCCUUCAUGGGUCUAAAUUACAAAAGGAAGUGAUCCGUAGGGCUGAAAACAUCAACUAGAUCUGCAUUCCAUCAUGAGAUGACUGGGAGGCAGGAAACAGCUGCUGGGGCUGUGGACAGGCCUGAGGUCAGCUCUGACUUUCUGAGAGGCCAUUUCAAAGCCAUCAUCUGGACAAGAGACGACGGGUGGCCAGAUCCAGCUCUGCAUGAUUCAACUCUGUACACUAGUGAACCAUCCCUCAUGGAGAAGCUUUGUGUUCCUGGUGUUUUUUUUAUUAUGUGCUAAAUAACAGAACUUUAAAACUGCAUCUGUGAUUGUCAUGAGACAAUGCCAUCAUUUUGGAACUAAUACACAGCCAACUUUGUGCAAAUAAUACAAGGUAAAAGAAAAAGAAAAGAAAGCUGCUCUAAAGACAAAUAGACUUGAAAAAAACAAGUCAUCUUGGAAAAAAGAAGUAACCAAAGUGGCUUAAAUCUGAGGGAGGGCAAAUUGUUCAAAUUAAUUUUUUUCAACUCCAAGUUAACUCAGUCUUCCAUUUUUACUUAUGAGAAAAGAAUAGUACAUGGUGAGUAUUCUAAUAUAACCUGCUUAAUGUAAUUAUUCCUGCCAAAGCAUAAUUAACUUUGAAAUAAUCAAGCCACAGAUAGUUGUAACCUGAGUCACAGCGGGUCACUGUUACUAGAAAAGAAAGCUCUCAAUCUACAAAUAGGAACAUGAGAGUAAAAAUGUAAUUAUUAAAGGGUUUCAAGGAAAACAAGAGUAAUUUUUAAUGAAGAAAAUAUCUUAAAUGUCCUAAACAUUUCAAGAUAAGAUUCUUCUUGAGCUUAGUUAGCAGCUGGGGUCUGGCACAUUGUGGGUGAUCAGUAAUGAGCAAAGACCAGACAUUCUUUUUUGCUUCCUGAACUUGCUUCUUCUUUUUUUUUUUUUUUUUUUUGCUUUUAAUACACACACACAUACAUAUAUACAUAUCCUUGGAAUAGUCCAGAUAUAAAUCAUAUUGACUUUGAGCCAGGUACUUACCUUCACUUAAAAAAAAAAAAAA